CUUUUACGCACGAAUAAAAAUGACUUGUGCUCACCAAAUUUUUGGCAUAUCUCCUAAAGUAAAAGAAAAAAACAUGCACAGAAAAAAAACACCUCACAAUGACAUCCAAGGAAACACUCAAAAUGUGUCAACCUUAUCCCCGCGACCUUAAAAACGCGCAAAUGUUGGUCGAAGGGGCCAAGCAUCUGUGACAGACCGGGCGCCCCGUGGCUGCCACACGCACUGAUGAUGAAAAAUUCUCAUUAAAAGCCUCGUCCAGUGAACCCGCACGAGACACAACACCACCCUCGCUGCUCUGAGGUAUCCGGAGGAGAAAUGAGCGGCUGGAGGGAGAACACGGACACCGAAAGCCUUGAUUCAACCCCGUUUCUCCAGACUCUGCAGCCUGAGGCUUGACCAGUGGUUCUCAACCUUGGCAUCCUGACCCCUAUGGGGGUGAUGGGGUCACCAGAUGGAAUUACAUAUCUUUGACAGUGUUGUUCAGACCGGGUUCCCUUCAGGUGAAUGCUGGGUUUCUCUGGGGCGACGAUUCGUCUCCUGUCAUUUACGGCUUCAUCUCUGCAAACUGAUGCAGGAUAACGACGGGAUGGGCCGAAUCAGAGAGCUACACCCAGAACAGGAUGUCAGGAUGAGGGGAGGCUGCCGCAAGAUCGAAGGAGGAUAUUUAGAGUAAUGGAGUAGGUCGUCAGGGUUUGGCAGGGCCAGGGAGCUCUAUCUCACUCUGACAAGACCUUAAAUGUCUGCUCGUCCAAAGGUUGUGGUUUCAAUUCCCCCCCCUCUGCAAUCCUAAAGGGAAGGAAGAACAGACCCAGCAACCUGCACCACCACAGAUCCAAUCUCAAGGCUAAUAGAAGAGGGACACUGUGGCGAUGCCUAGUUGGAAGAGAUGUAUAUUUUAGAGAAAACAAAUUUAAAAAUAAAGUGAAUUUAAAGCUCUUGUGAGGCAUUCCUGGCUGGUUAUGAAACGCACUGAAAUAAAUACUGAUUCCUCCACUGCCAUCAGUAGAAAGAUUUAUGAUUUCCUUAAAAGUUCUUAAAGUAAGUAAUUUCUGAAACCUGCUGUAGUGAUGGGUGUUAUGCGACAUAAUGAAAAACAUCUCACAUUUAGUUGAACACUGCUACUUC